rnacentral:tRNA from 1 species
GAGAAAGUAUGCAAGAACUGCUAACUCAUGCCCCCACGCUUAAUUAGCCUGGCUUUCUCA